rnacentral:lncRNA from 1 species
UUAACUUUUGAGAACACUUUCAACUGAGAGUCCUGAGCUAAAUGUACACUCAGCAAACCAGGAAGAAGUUUGCUUAGGAUGUCACGUGUCAAGUCCAGCUUGUCUCCUGAAGCAAAGACUGCUUUGAAACACAAAAUUGUGCGUGUGGGUGUACGCGUGCGCACGCACGCACACACACCCUUCCUUACAGAUACAAAGGGGAGACACCCGAAAACAUGAAUGGUCUGCUUUUCUAGGCUAGCAAGCCACAACCAUAUCUCCUAGGGAUGAGGAUGUUAGACACACUGAGUAGAAAGCUCUGUUGCAUCGAUAAAACAGUCUUUUUUCCCCUAAAUAAAAGACCAAAGCACAACCUAACCCCACAUAGACAAACACAGUAUUCUCAAGAACACAAAUGCACUACAGUUAGGAAUUUUAAGUCCUAUCUUCCGACAUCUUAUAAGUCUCCUCUUCACUUAGUAGUUUUUGGGUUUCCUUGGCUCAAUCCACAAAACGCACCCCCCACCAUAUGCUUCCAGUGCCCUCAAGGUUGCAGGACCACUGGCUUGUGCCUCCCACGCCUUCGUGAGGGAAGGGGAUGUGGACUCAACGGGGAGCACAGAGGGAUGCUCUUGAAGGAAAUGCAAAGAUUUGAGGUAGAUAGAAAUUAUCACUUCACAGGUUCAAUCCCUGCACAAAAGAGAAUUACAUUCAUCUGUAAAAAAAAAAAAAAAAAAAAAAGGGGGAAAAAAAGCUGAGGUAGGACUUAGGCGAUGUUGUACUUUUGUUCUUUAAAAAAAAUAAUAACAAAAAUAAGGGGGGGGGGGAACCCAAAUAUCCCUGAGAUGAUUUCUUCUUUGAAAUUCAAAAACGAGACACACACGCGCACCCUGAACACAGAAAAACCCAGAAGACACAGAAAUUAGAAGAUGAGGAUUCGAUUGUUGCCAAAGUCCACCACGACGAUCAAUCCUUCCGGGGUGACCGCGAUACCUGAGGGGCGGUCCAUCUGCCCGAAGCCGCUGCCUUGAGCACCGAACUUGCACAGGAAGCUGCCGUUGGCCUCAAACAUCU